rnacentral:lncRNA from 10 species
GGAGUCCAGGCCCAGUGGCCCUUGUGGGGCCAGAGUAGGGGAUGGGAAACCUUUGUCAGUUUUGAGUAGAAAAGUGACAUCUGAUUUAUGAUUUUAAAGCGUAAUUCUGCUGGCUGUGUAGAAAAGAGCUGGAGAAGGGGAGAAGUAAGCAGGUGGGAGGUGGUCACGCUUCAUGGUGAAAGGCGAUGGUGCAGAUGGCAGCCCUGUAGGCUGUGGGCGUCUGGCGCUGGGCAUGGUUUUGAACAGAUGUGGAGUGUGAACAAAGGGAAGAGGAUUCAAGGGUUAUUGCAGUGUCUGUGGCCUGAACAAAUGAGAUAAUGGAGAAAACUAUAGAAGGAGGAAAAUCAGAAGUGAGGCUGGACGCAUUAGGGUUGAAAAACUUCUGAGAGCAUCCAAAUGAAGGUGUUGGGUGAGGAGCUGGUCAGGUGUUGGGGCUGGAAAGAAGGCCAGGUUGGAGGCAGGCAUGUGAGUGUUCAGCAUAGAUGGCGUUGGUGUCUGAUAAUGAGUGCACUCCCCUCUGUAAUGGACAGAGAUGAGGGCUGAGCCCUAGACACGCCAGGGCUUUGAGGCGUCAGGGGACACUGGGAGGAGCUAUCAGUGAGGCGGGUAGGGAACAGAGAAAGGCUGUCCCAGAUUCACAUAAGGAGAGUGACUUCUGAAGGAGCGGGGCUGUGUCAGUGCCACCGCAGGUUGAGUUGGAAGUGUGGCCAUAGCUGACCCCUGAUAUGGUGACGUGGAUGUUUGGGGUGAGAGCCCUACUGUAGUAGGCUCAGG